CCUACGGGUGGCAGCAGUGGGGAAUAUUGCACAAUGGGGGAAACCCUGAUGCAGCGACGCCGCGUGCGUGAAGAAGUAAUUCGUUAUGUCAAGCUCUAUCAGCAGGGAAGAACCUGACGGUCCCUGAGUAAGCAGCCCCGGCUAACUACGUGCCAGCAGCCGCGGUAGGACGUAGGGGGCAAGCGUUAUCCGGAUUUACUGGGUGGAAAGGGAGCGUAGACGGCAGUGCAAGUAUGGAGUGAAAGGCGGGGGCGCAACCCCCGGACUGCUCUGGAAACUGUACGGCUGGAGUGCAGGAGAGGUAAGUGGAAUUCCUAGUGUAGCGGUGAAAUGCGUAGAUAGUAGGAGGAACACCAGUGGCGAAGGCGGCUUACUGGACUGUAACUGACGUUGAGGCUCGAAAGCGUGGGGAGCAAACAGGAUUAGAUACCCUAGUAGUC
rnacentral:rRNA from 1 species